ensembl:lncRNA VNN3P vanin 3, pseudogene
GGGAUUUAAUGUAAAGUUUUUCCAGUGAAACAAAACGUAAGAAUCUGAGUUUGUUUUUCAAAGAUCACUAAAUUUUAGUUAUGAUUAUAUCACAUUUUCCAAAAUGUGUGGCAGUUUUUGCCCUCCUUGCUCUGAGUGUUGGUGCACUGGACACUUUUAUUGCUGCAGUAUAUGAGCAUGCGGUGAUAUUACCAAACAGAACAGAAACACCUGUUUCAAAAGAAGAAGCUUUGCUCCUGAUGAACAAGAACAUAGAUGUUUUGGAGAAAGCAGUUAAGCUGGCAGCGAAGCAGGGUGCACAUAUCAUUGUGACCCCAGAAGAUGGAAUCUAUGGUUGGAUCUUCACCAGGGAGAGCAUUUACCCCUAUCUAGAGGAUAUACCAGACCCUGGAGUGAACUGGAUUCCAUGUAGAGACCCCUGGAGAUUCGGCAACACACCAGUGCAACAAAGACUCAGCUGCCUGGCCAAGGACAACUCUAUCUAUGUCGUGGCUAAUAUUGGGGACAAGAAGCCAUGCAAUGCCAGUGACUCUCAGUGUCCCCCUGAUGGCCGUUACCAAUACAACACUGAUGUGGUGUUUGAUUCUCAGGGAAAACUGUUGGCACGCUACCAUAAGGGAGUGGAAUCUACGCCCCAGAAGCAGUCAAGGUGUACCACUAUGACAUGGAAACAGAGAGUGGUCAGCUGUUGCUAUCAGAACUGAAGUCUCGGCCCCGCCGUGAGCCCACCUACCCUGCAGCUGUUGACUGGCAUGCGUAUGCCAGCAGUGUCAAGCCAUUUUCCUCUGAACAGUCAGAUUUUCUGGGGAUGAUUUAUUUUGAUGAGUUUACCUUCACCAAGCUUAAGAGAAAUACAGGAAAUUACACAGCUUGCCAGAAAGAUCUGUGUUGUCACUUAACUUACAAGAUGUCUGAGAAGCGAACAGACGAGAUCUAUGCCCUAGGUGCUUUUGAUGGACUGCACACAGUAGAAGGCCAAUAUUACUUACAGAUAUGUGCAUUACUGAAGUGUCAAACCACUGACCUGGAAACGUGUGGAGAACCUGUGGGGUCAGCUUUUACCAAGUUUGAAGACUUCUCCCUCAGUGGCACAUUUGGAACGCGUUAUGUUUUCCCACAGAUCAUUCUAAGUGGGAGUCAGCUUGCCCCUGAAAGACAUUAUGAGAUUUCAAGAGAUGGACGCUUGAGGAGCCGAAGUGGAGCCCCUUUGCCUGUCUUAGUUAUGGCCCUGUAUGGAAGAGUGUUUGAGAAGGACCCUCCACGCUUAGGGCAGGGAUCUGGGAAAUUCCAGUGAUCUCCUUUAGCAGAGCCCUUUUAGGAUUAGCCUGGCUAAGAAAGGAAGAAAAAAAAGAGAUCCGUUAGUGUCUGUUUAGAAAAGAUGUUAUAAACUUACAGAAACAAAUAUAAUAAACUGAAGCAGAUUUGAAAAGCAA